UACGUGAGCCCCGAGCGUUAUCCGGAAUUACUGGGCGUAAAGCGUGCGCAGGCGGAUUGUUAAGCAAGAUGUGAAAUCCCCGGGCUUAACCUGGGAAUGGCAUUUUGAACUGGCAAUCUAGAGUGUGUCAGAGGGGGGUAGAAUUCCACGUGUAGCAGUGAAAUGCGUAGAGAUGUGGAGGAAUACCGAUGGCGAAGGCAGCCCCCUGGGAUAACACUGACGCUCAUGUACGAAAGCGUGGGGAGCAAACAGG
rnacentral:rRNA from 1 species